rnacentral:rRNA from 1 species
UACGGAGGAUCCGAGCGUUAUCCGGAUUUAUUGGGUUUAAAGGGUGCGUAGGCGGUUUGAUAAGUUAGAGGUGAAAUGUCGGGGCUCAACCCCGAAACUGCCUCUAAUACUGUUGGACUAGAGAAUAGUUGCGGUAGGCGGAAUGUAUGGUGUAGCGGUGAAAUGCAUAGAUAUCGCGCAGAACCCCGAUUGCGAAGGCAGCGUGCCGUGCCGCCACUGACGCUGAGGCACGAAGGCGCGGGGAUCGAACAGG